UACGUAGGUGACCAGCGUUGUCCGGAUUUACUGGGCGUAAAGAGCGCGCAGGCGGUCGUUCAAGUCGAGUGUGAAAGCCCCCCGGCUCAACUGGGGAGGGUCACUCGAUACUGAUCGACUUGAAGGCAGGAGAGGGAAGCGGAAUUCCCGGUGUAGUGGUGAAAUGCGUAGAUAUCGGGAGGAACACCAGUGGCGAAGGCGGCUCCUGGUCCUGUUCUUGACGCUGAGGCGCGAAGGCUAGGGGGAGCAAACGGGGAUUAAGAAACCC
rnacentral:rRNA from 1 species